rnacentral:rRNA from 1 species
CGGAUUGAAGGCUGAAAUUACGCCUUCCAUGAAGCUGGAAUUGCUAGUAAUGGCAGGUCAGCAUACUGCCGUGAAUACGUUCCCGGGCCUUGUACACACCGCCCGUCACACCAUGAGAGUUGGGAAUACCCGAAGCCUGUGAGCUAACAUAUGAGGCAGCAGUCGAAGGUAGAAUCAAUGAUUGGGGUGAAGUCGUAACAAGGUACC